AGUACCAUUUAGGAAUAAGCCAAAAAAGAAAUUAAAACCUAGAAUUCAAUCUUUUCACAAUCUUAGGUCCCAGACGCAAAUACCUCCAUCUCUUUCUGCAUAUUCUUCCAACCUCCCAUCGAGCAUGACCACUCAUCUUCCCCAUUUUAUUUAGAUUUAAUACUCAAAAUUAUGCUUAUAUAAUCCAUCUGAUUGAGAAUAUUCAUUUUAUUUCUCUUUUGAUAUAUGAUGCAUUUGUUUUAGUUUAUCCCAGCAGAGGGGACAAGAAGAUUGUCAAAGGCAAACACUUCAAUCACUCCUUUAGGAAUUCUAAAUUUUUAAAGCUUCUGAGAAACAACGAACGAUGCAUUUAAGGCAGUAUUUGAAAAGGAACAGCUUGAUCGAGUUAGAUGCUAUGAUAGAUGGGUGACGACAAACUCUCUGAAAAAAGAUGAGUAAAUCAACAAGCUUAAACAAAAUCAUGCCAGUGAAAUUAUUUCUAUGAAGGAAUAAAUGAAAGAAAUGAAGAGAGAAUAAAUGCGAUUUUUUUAGUCAAUUGAUACAAAACAAUUCUGGAUUUAAUAUUCAAGAUAUACCAGGGUGUGCCGGAUCUAACCUUCAUUCACCUGUUGAUGCAAGUAGUGCACGUACGGAAUGUGAGAGCACUAAAUCUUCCCCAUUCUUUUGGCUCAACUGAUGCACUGGGUCUUGAAAAGAUUCCGGAGCAGCUUUUGGACAGUAGCAUUUAGGGUGGC